rnacentral:rRNA from 1 species
GACGAACGCUGGCGGCGUGCCUAAUACAUGCAAGUCGAACGCUGAGGAGAGGAGCUUGCCUUUCUUGGAUGUGUGGCGAACGGGUGAGUAACACGUAGGUAACCUGCCUUGUAGCGGGGGAUAACUAAUGGAAACGAUAGCUAAUACCGCAUAUAAGUGGAUGACACAUGUCCUUUAAUUGAUAGAGGGUGUUGCUCCACUGUAAGCUGGACCUGCGUUGGAUUAGCUAGUAGGUGGGGUAACGGCUCACCUAGGCGACGAUACAUAGCCGGCCUGAGAGGAUGAACGGCCACACUGGGACUGAGACACGGCCCAGACUCCUACGGGAGGCAGCAGUAGGGAAUCUUCCGCAAUGGAGGAAAGCCUGACCGAGCAACGCCGCGUGAGUGAUGAAGGGUUUCGGAUCGUAAAGCUCUGUUAUAAGGGAAGAAAGGGUGUUAUGGGAGAAAGGUCACACUGUGACGGUAGCUGACCAGAAAGGCACGGCUAACUACGUG